UCGGGAAUUUUGGGCAAUGGGGGAAACCCUGACCCAGCAACGCCGCGUGAAGGAUGAAGUAUUUCGGUAUGUAAACUUCGAAAGAAUAGGAAGAAUAAAUGACGGUACUAUUUAUAAGGUCCGGCUAACUACGUGCCAGCAGCCGCGGUAAUACGUAGGGACCAAGCGUUGUUCGGAUUUACUGGGCGUAAAGGGCGCGUAGGCGGCAUGACAAGUCACUUGUGAAAUCUCUGGGCUUAACCCAGAACGGCCAAGUGAUACUGUCGCGCUAGAGUGCAGAAGGGGCAAUCGGAAUUCUUGGCGUAGCGGUGAAAUGCGUAGAUAUCAAGAGGAACACCUGAGGUGAAGACGGGUUGCUGGGCUGACACUGACGCUGAGGCGCGAAAGCCAGGGGAGCAAACGGGAUUAGAUACCCUGGUAGUCCCUGAGCGGGCUGGCAAGGCGCAU
rnacentral:rRNA from 1 species